AGGCCCCUGGGUGGGAGCAGGCUGAUCCCCCUGGGUGCCUGGUACUGACAAAUGCUGGGCUGUAGGGGUGCAGAGGGCCUGGCUGGAGGAGCAUUCAGGAGGCAGAAUCUCCCCGACCUGGUGCUGCAUAGGGAGGAGGGGCCGGGGCUAUUUGGAGAUGCUGUCAACAGGGACGAGGGCUGGCGGCAGAAAAUGCGGAGUCUGCAUGGAAUACUGAGGUCCCACGUGAACCACCUUCCUGAGCCUCCCCCGUCUCCUGCUCGGACCUCUCCCAGUGCCUUCAUUGGCUUCUCCCUCCCUGAUCCCGUCUUCGGGGGUCUUGGGAUCCUCUCUGUGGAGCUGUCCCCCUUCCCGGGUAAACCGACACCCUCACAGUGAGGAAGCCACUUCUGUGCUGACCACUUCUGCCAUGGUCAGCUUCAUGUGUCAACUCGGCCAGGCUGCAGUCCCCAGGCAAUCAACAAACGCUGUCUCAAUGUUGCUCUGAGGUCCUUUCUGGAUGUGAAAAAGGUGCUGUCGUCCAUGCGUCUCAGGACCAUCAGUCUCUUCACUGCACCGCCCCCUGGUGGUGGGGUACUCUCCCUGCGGGCACACACCAAGGAGCGCUAAAUCCUCCACCGCCCCAGCCUGGACGCCCAGCCCAGGACAGGCGGCCAGAGGAUGCCCUCAGCAAAGAGCACCCCAGCACCUGCCUUCAGCCAGCGCCAAGGGAGAGGAAGGAGGGGACGACUCCGUACGCCGUCUCUAACCAUCCCCCGCCCCUUCCUGGUAUUUGAGGUAUUUGAGGCUGUAUGGUUUGUAGUCAUGAUCUAAUUAAGCAUGUGAGAGUGGAGGGGGGGCGCAGCCAGUCAGGGACUCCUUAGUCUCUGUGUCCUGAUAGGUGUCUGCCUAACUCCCAUUUCCCUUGCUUCCUGCUUUUGCACAGCAUCCGAGUUUCCGUUCAGAGGCCACCAUCCCUCCGCCAUGUGGCCCCAGUAAGAAGUCCCCCACGGACUUCCCAGUAAGCUGGCCCCAGCUCCGAAGGUUCUGACGGGUCUAAGGGUGACCCCAUCCCCCUGGAGACAAAGAUCAGCUACACCAGACAGCAGCCAGCAUUCCCUGGACACAGGACUUUCUCCAGGAACGGCAUACGACCCAGUUCAGAGCAAUGGGAUGUGAGUGGUGGCUUGCUGAGGAAUGCUGGAGAGGAUGCUCCUCCCGUUUAGGAGAGAAGAUCCCCUGUCUCCUGGUCUGGAUGUACACCACUGACAGCUGUUGCAAUUUUGUUUCCACACUGACAACCUGAGAAGGAAGCCAGCACCGAGAGGAAAUCGUGGAGAAGUGGGGCCAGAGCCCCUGGAUCGAGCCAAACCUGAGGCCCAUCUACCUCUGGACUUCCAGGUCCAUGAGCCAAAGAAGCCCUUAUUUGAGCCACUUGGACUUGAGUUUUUUGUUGUUUAUGACACCCUAAAACCCCCAAGCCGUCAGUGUUGGGAGGCCUCCUGAGGAAGAGGUCUCAGACCAAGGGUCCCAUUUUGCAUCAAGGAAUGUGUGACAUUGACCCCCAGACCAUGGGUUCUGCUUGUCCUGCCACAAACCACAUCUCUGGGAAGCUGCCAGCUGACAGAAUGCCGCCCCCCCCCCCCCCCCCAAGCCUCAGCACAGGGACUGUCCACUGCGGGUCUGGGCUGUUUUCCAGGAUGCAGCAUGUGCACUGAACCAACGGGCAGUGCGCCGAGUCCAGAACAAGGGGUCAAAGCGCCAUAGAUCUCCGGGGGAGCAAGCCCCAGGAGUCUGCAGGGGUGGCCCACUCGAUAAUGCCACCGUCGUCG
rnacentral:lncRNA from 1 species